GCAGCUGAGAGUUGUGAACUGUUAAUGACAGGAGAAACAAGCUUUGGACCAAUGCAGGCCCUGCCACAAGCACACCUGGGUCCAGCUGUGAAGGGCAGUGACAUCACCUAUUAGCCUACUACAAGCCUUGGCACGUCCAGAUGGACUCCGAGGGUCAGCCCAGCAUUUAAUCAGUAGUGUUACUGUUUGAGGGUGUGCACGUGUGGGGAGCCUGGAAUCUGGGCAUAUGGCGGGCAGAGGGUACCUACACAACGAACCCCAAUAAAUCCUUGGAAGACAAUACUUCACAUGUGCUGACACAACACACUGCUGGGGACGUUGUGAAAUGUGCAACUCUACCGAGAGCCUGGAAGCUCAGGCCUGGUUUCCUUGUCUCAUUUUGCUCUGUGCCCCUUCUCUAUAAUAAAUCACUCCCCUAAGAACUGCACAGAGUCCUGUGAGUACUGCUCACAAACCACUGAAACUGGGCAUGGCCUCAUACUCCCAACACAGUGCGAUCCCAAAAAUGUCUCCAGGCCUUGCUCAAUGUUCCCUGAGGAAUGCCAAGCUCUACCCUUUCAACCGGCACAAAUGUGAAAGACAAAGACUAGAUAAAGCCUAAAUGAACGAGGCUGAGGAGUCAUGACAAUGAAACACAACCUAUUCCUGCCAGAAGCUUCAACUAGAAAGGAAGAUACUAUUCUUGGGCAGGAGAGCAAAAUCUGAAUGCGUCUCUGGGUUGGAGAACUGCUGCAUGAUGUUAACAUGAGGAUGUCAGAAAGGAUUCAUCUUUCCAGGAAAUACACCGGAUUCCUUCUACUUUGUGCUUCCUCUAUCAUAAGCCGCUUCUCUCCAAGCCUUUGCACAACUUAUUUCCUCGGUCUACACACUGCCCUCCGCAUCUCUUUCGUCUUCAUUAACUCCAAAUCAUUUUUCAGACUUGAAUUAAGAUUCACUUCUUCUGGGAACCUGCGGAGGUCACACAAGUCCCUGCAGGUUGCCUUCCUUACACUGUAGGGCCUCCCCCACCAGGAUUUAUUUCAUCACAUGUAUAGGAAGGUUGCUUCUUUUCUCAACUGCAACCCCAACUAGAGAGCUUCCAUGCGUGCCUCUUCUGCUUAUGACUGGAUGCCAAACCACAUGCCAUUAAUAAACACAUCAAUGAUUGGAAAAUGAAUGAAUUACAAUUUUACAAGCAUUCCUUGUCACAGAAUGAUUGGGAAAUCCAUAUGUCUGAGAGAAAAUACGUUUCAAGUUAAAAGCAACAAAGUUCAAACUUCUGGCAACUAUCAGUGGGAAUCUAGUGCAAGUUUUUAUAAAUAAUAAACCCAAAUCUGUCCGUAGGGCAGCCAAACACCAAACUGAUCAAAGCUAAUCUAGUUACAUGAGACGAACAGUUUCAAACUGUCAUCGGAAUUCCCAGAGUGCAGUUAUUUUAUUCUGCAGUGAAGUCGAGCAAAAGGUGGCACUCCAUCAAAAUAAAAUGACUUACUUCAGCUGACUAGCUUGACUUGCUUAGUUUACAUAAUAUCACCAUGGUUUGGUUUCCAUGACUACCAAAGUUCUGCAACACAUGGACACCGAGCAACAGAUGAGUGACAAACCACGAUAAUCAGUGAGGGUGAGAAAAGAGAGCUGAGGCGAUUUACGAGACCAUGGAGGGGGCGGUGCAUGAAAUGCAGUCAGGCUAUACACUUCUCCAUACAGCAGUGACCUCGGCAAAGGUGAUGUUAACGUGUUUAUCUGCACCUCUGUGUCUCCUCAACUACUGUAGCUCUUCAACUACUGAGACAACAAGGGAGGAAUAAGACAUGAAAGGAAGAUUUUCAGCGCAAGUGUGGGAAUGUGGCAUAGAGCAAAGGAAGGAGACUCCUUAGGAAGUUCAUGCAAUAAUCUCAGAUCAAAGCGGUUCCCAUGAAGGUGGAAGCAGGGAAGACAGUGAAAAGAAUGUGGACAACAAAGGUAUAGCCAAGAGAACCAGGUGGUGGCCUGGACACAUGUUGUGAGGGGAAACAGAUGCACCGAGGAUGGAAUCUAGUUUCUGGCUAAGCACCCUGAAGAACACACUGUCUACUUUCAAGAUGGAGCCCACCAUGCGUUGCUACAUUUGUGAAGGAAGAUCAGAUCCAAGACUGAAAAGCAGUUACACCAAUUGUUCUGUGCAAACACCUCCGAUGACUCACAGCCUCACUCAGAAAAGCCCCAACCCUUACAAUGGUCAGUCCUCCUCUCACCUCUGACCUCAUCUGACUUGGAACAUUCAGUUCACUCCAGCCUAACCGGCCCUCUUGCUCUGCUCAAGCACACCAAGAAGGCUCCUGCUUCAGCCCACACACCUGAGGCUUCCACUGCGAUUUUCUUCCCCCGAGAUAUCAACAGAGCUCCAUCUGUUGCCCCACUGCUCAAUCUAACUUUCCCAAGACUCCAAAUUCCAACAGCUACGGACUCCUUCUCCUCACCCCUCACUCUCUUCCUUCCCAGCUCUUUGUACUCAUCACCUCUAAUAUAACUAAUAUAUUUAUCUUACCCUCUUCCUACGUAGAAGCUCCAAGAGGUCAAGAAUGUCUUCUUCACACAUUGUAGUAAUUGCAGUGCCUAAUUCAUAGCAGGUGAUCAAUAAGGAUUUUCUGACUUUAGUGAACUGCCUCAAACAAUAAAAACAAUUUAUCAAAGAUUCUGGAAAAUUCCACUUGGGAUUCUGAGAUGGAGGGGGGGCAUGCUACAAGAGACCUACACAACACAGCUGAACUAAGACAAGGAUUUGACUCAGUUUAUUUCCUCCCUGCACCAGCAGCGCAUUUCCUUCCUCUCCUGGUCCCAACACUGAAAAUGUGUGGAAUCAGUUCAUAAACCCUGCACUUAAAAGUCGAGCUUCUCAGGACAGCCUACCAAGUCUGCGUGCCUUUCUGGCCUCAUCUUCAGCCAUCUCCCCUCUGCACCAUGCUCACCCAACUAGACAGUGUUCUGCCUACCAAAGAUGCCCCUAUGGACCGGGGAUUUAGCUCAGUGGUUUUGCCGCCUGCUGCGCAAGCGCAAAGACCUGAGUUCGAUUCCCGGUUCCGUUACUAACUACAGCAAUCCCUGCACCCAGAUGGCUUUCUGCACACCUCUCCCAGCUAUUUGCUCAAAUCGCUCCUAUCAUCUCCACAAC
ensembl:lncRNA